UACACAAUAUUACAGAAGUGUCAUGGAAAAGUCUGCUUCUGGGAGUCUGCUUCUGGGAGUCUGCUUACUAAUAAAAAUAUAAGGUGCAUCCUGACUUGAACUAUGGUUUGACUUCUAUUUUCUGUAUUUGAUAAUUUGCAGUAUGUCUAGCAUUAUCAUUUUACAUAUUUUCUUAUGAUACAAAAACCUUUUGAUGGUAAGCAUGAACUGAGGUGAAUUAAAGCAUAUUAAAGUUUCUACACAUUGAUUGAGGGAGCCAAAACUGAAAGUUAACCUUCGGCUGAGUACUUUCAUCCCAUUUUCAUACACACAAAAGCAUCAUCAAUCCAUUUUCAUCAGCAAGACAACAACCCAUUUUCCUCAACCCUGAAGCCCAUCUAACCCGUUUUUCUCAACCCCUUUUCCUUCCCUUCCCUUCCUCGCCGCUGGUCCUCCACUUUCAUCAAUCAUCUGGCCGACAUGCAUGUGAUGGUAGAGAGCCGUCAUAAUGGAAGAUGGAAUAGAGGGUGCUGGGCAAAUCUCAAAUUGAGGAAGGGGAGAUGACAAGAUUGCGAUUUUGUUAAGGAGAGAGAUGGAGGGAGGGAGAGGCAGUGGAGAGCGUAGUGGCAAGGCCUCAACACAGGAGGGGAUGCAACUUGCAACUGGCGAGUUACCUGGAGCAGAAGAAAUCGAAAAGAAAGAGGCAACACUCGAAACAAUAAUGUGGGUAUGGCUGCGAUUGGGGAAGUGGGUUCAGAUUAAGUGGAAGUAUAUUUGUGAGAUGGAAACUGGGGGAAGCAUAAGAGGGAAUUACUGAGUAAUGCUUUCCUCCUACCCCAUUUGAUGAUUUAUAAGAUUAGAGAAUCCCCUGCUUC
rnacentral:misc_RNA from 1 species